AACGCUAGCUACAGGCUUAACACAUGCAAGUCGAGGGGCAGCAUGGUCUUAGCUUGCUAAGGCCGAUGGCGACCGGCGCACGGGUGAGUAACACGUAUCCAACCUGCCGUCUACUCUUGGACAGCCUUCUGAAAGGAAGAUUAGUACAAGAUGGCAUCAUGAGUCCGCAUGUUCACAUGAUUAAAGGUAUUCCGGUAGACGAUGGGGAUGCGUUCCAUUAGAUAGUAGGCGGGGUAACGGCCCACCUAGUCUUCGAUGGAUAGGGGUUCUGAGAGGAAGGUCCCCCACAUUGGAACUGAGACACGGUCCAAACUCCUACGGGAGGCAGCAGUGAGGAAUAUUGGUCAAUGGGCGAGAGCCUGAACCAGCCAAGUAGCGUGAAGGAUGACUGCCCUAUGGGUCGUAAACUUCUUUUAUAAAGGGAUAAAGUCGGGUAUGGAUACCCGUUUGCAUGUACUUUAUGAAUAAGGAUCGGCUAACUCCGUGCCAGCAGCCGCGGUAAUACGGAGGAUCCGAGCGUUAUCCGGAUUUAUUGGGUUUAAAGGGAGCGUAGAUGGAUGUUUAAGUCAGUUGUGAAAGUUUGCGGCUCAACCGUAAAAUUGCAGUUGAUACUGGAUAUCUUGAGUGCAGUUGAGGCAGGCGGAAUUCGUGGUGUAGCGGUGAAAUGCUUAGAUAUCACGAAGAACUCCGAUUG
rnacentral:rRNA from 1 species